ACCUUCGUGGUGUAGCGGUCAGCACUCUUGACGGGUAAUCGAGAAGUCCGUGGUUCGAUUCCCAGCGAAGGCG
rnacentral:tRNA from 1 species